AGUCUCUUCAAAAGUUCGUGUCAUAAGGCUCGCAAUGCGCACCCUAUAUUUCUUCUUCCAACGUUCAUCAUUUCCACAAUGAAAGCAUGUUCCUUUGGAUUUCUUUGCCUUCUUCUAUGCAACCUUUUCCUUGUGAUUGCAUUCUCACUCCCACUGUCCCUUUUGAAACCUUUUUCAAAUUUACAGCACAUGUCAAUCAUCUCGUUUAAAGAAUGAUCGAAUCUAUUCAC
rnacentral:lncRNA from 1 species